GGAAUUGGCAAAUAUUUCGAAGUGCCAAUGGGGCAGUCGGCAUUUAGCUAUGUGCUAAAAGACGUAUUGACGCCACUACAAACACGAUUGUGUGCCAAGGGGGAAGUCUUAAUAUGAGUGCCAAUGAAAAACGGCAAAGCAAGAUGGAGUUCUAUCAAAUAUAUAGAUGUCUUGCAUCAUUUUGUGUGUGGAUGAGACGCACUUAAAAAUUAUUUCCCCAAUAAAGAAAAAUUCCUCUACUACAACCGGAAGGGCUACUACAGUAUCAAUGACAUGAUUAUAUUUGACAAUACCAUAAAAUGAGAAUCUGCUACUUGAACCCGCAAUAUUCCGGGAGCAACCACCAACCUCAUAUAUGGAAUGUGAGCUAUGGGAGAUCCUUUUUUGAGAGGAAAUAUCUAGAAGGGGAACGAAAUACUUGGAUACUAGGAUACGCUGGAUACGCCUAGGAACUUUGGCUGAUAAUACGUUUUCGU